rnacentral:snRNA from 1 species
AAACUUACCCUGGAGGAAAGAUCCUAUGAUCAAGAAGGUGGUUUUCCCAGGGUAAUCCUCAUUCAUUGCUCUCCAGAUAGAGUGACUUCCUGCAAUUUCUCCACCAUGUCAAAGGCAACUGCCUGAUUUGGAC